ACAGGCAACUGUCAAUAAGCAAAGUGACAGUCACAUCUCCUGCAUGUUAAUCUUAAUGGACAGGAGAUGUUUGCAAGAGAAUAAAAAGCCCCUUCGUCCCUCCAAAGCCGUACAAUAAAAUCAUUUUUUUAAAAAAAAUUAAAGGAAAAAGCCUUCUUUGUCGACCCUAUUUGGAAGGAUCAUUUAAAAAUACAGCUGUCUGCAACAAGGAUUCGAGAGGGAAUGAAGGGGGGGGGGGAGGAGAAGAGGGCUUACCCACCAACACCCUGGCAAACAAGGCUGCUCUGCAUCUGUUGUACCUGUUCCUGUUGCCUUCCUUGCCUCUUGGAAUCAUGUCAAGAGAGAAAAGUCGCCUCAAAGCUGCGGGUCUGCAGCCCUGUGCAGGAAGUUGGCACCGAUCCCAGGCAGCGCAAAAGGCACCCCCAGAUUGCAGUGACGUCAUUUUUUUCCUCUCUUCCAAGUUUCACAAAGAUUGGCUGUGUGUAUGAAUGUCUAUGAAUGGUGCAUUUGUAUAGUAAUGUUGUGACAAAGAAAGUCUAAAGUUUAAAAACAUCCAGGAUAUCAUUGAACUGCUGAAGCUUCAAAGGCAUGACAAAUACUUAAAAUUGUGAGAGAUUUAAUCUUAAAGGACUCAGCAUGAUUUUACAGAUAUCAAGUAAGCUUUGAAUUAAUUUGCUGUAGCUGUUCAUUUACUUUGACAUAAACAACUUUAAAAUUUUGGCAAAGAUCAGAAGCUAUGGAAGCACCUGCAUUUCUAGAUUCCAUAAAAACCGUUCCCCAAUAAAUUGUGCCGAAUGCUUACACAAUAUAUUUUUCAGAUGUAAUCCUCAAAUCAUCAGGACAAAUAUAUUGGCUCAAAAGAUUGUGAUGAUAAAAUAAAAUUUCUGGGCCACUGCAUUUGAAAGACAAAUUUCAUCCCUAAAGAAUUCCUACAACUUUUCUGAAGCAAGAGAUUGUGAAUAUUUUCCUUUCUGGGUUAAAAGAAAAUACCAAGAAAAACAAUGACAAAAUAGACAUACCAUACUUCACUGUAUGAAAGUUACAAAAUUAAUGCACUUGGCUCCUGACCCAGAAAGCACUUCAAUGCUUUCCUGAAGCCAGCUUAGAUCCAUUUGGGAAUUACUGAGUAAUACACACAUGCAGAAAACAUAAAACCUACCACCAAAGUUAAAUGGUAUGGAGUCACUGGCUCUAUUUACAGCAAACCUAGAUGGAAACAAGACUUUCUUCUGUGUAUAGAUAAAGCUGGAACACAGCUUGCUGAGCAACAUUUUCAGUAUU